rnacentral:lncRNA from 1 species
AGGGUGAAAUGAAUUGAUGUCAGGCCUUGUAGGUGUGAUUUCUAAUCCCUUCCUCUUUUUCUCUCCUGAUUUCUGAUGCCUUUUCCUCCUCCUCCUGUUUAAAAUAGAACUGUUUUCAGAGUGAAAAUCUGGUGUUUUUCAGCUACAAUACCACAAUUGGAGUAUGAGUACUGAAUCAAAGACAUCUUUUCUCAUAAACAGUCUAAGAAGGUUUCCAGGUAUACAAUGAAAACCCUCAUACAUCAUUCAGUUUGGAAGGAUUCAAGUAAAAGGAAAUAUCUCAUCUUCAGUCCUCUGGGGUGGCUUUUGUUCUCUGAAAGGUGAAAUGUCAGUUCAGUAGAAGAGAUUGUCCUUCAAAAGCAUCUUCAAAGUCUACAAAAUGCCAUUGUCAUGGUGACAAGAUUUAAGAAGAAUUGUCUUUGAUCAUGGAAUUCAAAUGAACUGAAGACCUUUUUGAACAUACUAAGAGAAAAUGCAAACACAAACCAGCAAUAUGACUUACAAAAUGUUAUAUAUAAUUCAUCCAUUAUUACUGGGUUUACCCUCCAGAUGAAGAAACAGCUAAGAGCUCCUCCAAAUACAUAUGCGUGCACCCUGACAACAAAUGACUACAAAACUUAGCCAGCUGGCCACUGUGAACAGCUGCAGGUAUAGCACUGAAUGGAAACUGAGUCAUUUUUUCACUAUGUAUAUCAGCAGAACAGCAGAAGAAUAUUGCAAAAAUAGAGAAUCUCCAGCAAUAAGAAAAAUGAAUAGCAUUUAAGAUGUUCUUUUUAAAGGAAGAAACAAAAAGAUAGAAGAGAAAAAAUAGGUUUUGAAGAUAAACACACAGAGAGGGAUUUUGCUACUCUGGGACAGCU